CAUUAUUGUUCAAUCACUGUUCAGACCUUUCAGAGCUCCUGAAACACACAAUAAAAUGAUGUCCGUGUUUCUCCUGGUUGGGACGCUUCUCAUCAUCUUUGCCCAGGUCUCCAGUGGGCAGAUCACCAUGAUUCAGACUCCUUCAGCACUCUCUGCUCUCCCAGGAGAAAGAGUCUCUAUCAGCUGUAAAGCCAGCAGCUCCCUUGACAGCGGUGGUAAAAGCUACCUAGCCUGGUACCUGCAGACACCUGGAGAAGCUCCUAAACUCCUGAUCUAUUUUGCAAGCAGCCUUCAAUCUGGGAUCCCAGCUCAUUUCAGUGGCAGUGGAUCUGGGACUGACUUCACUCUGACCAUCAGCGGUGUCCAGGCUGAAGAUGCAGGAGAUUACUACUGUCAGCAGGUUUACAGCUCCCCGUACACUUUCGGACCAGGGACUAAGCUGGUUGUGAGAUCUGGAAGCCCCAUUGCUCCUUCCUCCGUCUCCGUGCUGCCUCCCUCCCAGCUGGAGCUCAACACAAACAAAGCCACCGUGGUCUGCAUGGUGAAUAAUUUCUACCCCGAUGUCGUGGCUAUCAAGUGGCAAGUGGACGGGGUGGACCAGUCGAAUGGUGUGCUGACCAGCUCAGUGAAGCAGAAGGACGGCAAAUACAGCGCAAGCAGCAGCCUGACCCUGACCAAGGCCCAGUGGAACCAGCAGGAGAAGUACACCUGCAUUGUGACCCACGAGGCCAUGAGCACUCCGAUGAGCGAGACCAUCAGCAGGAGCCAGUGCACACUGUUGGAUGCCUAGAGGGCAAGAGAAACCCGCUGCUUGUAAUGUCCAGCUUUCUUUGGGUAUUAAUUAGGAGGGUCACUGUAAUGUCCAUGUAAGAGCAGCAGACAGUGUUCGAAUGGGAAGGGCCCAGUGCGCCUGACCCUUAUGGUUGAUUUCCUUCUAUUCGCUGUGUAGUAGUGCAUCGUCUUUUGUUGUUUUGCUUGUCAAUGUUAAUCUAAUAACAAUUGUAUGUUUUGUGUGUAUUGCUCUGAGUGUAGUAAUAAAACAUGAACAAAAGUA